GAUGAACGCUAGCUACAGGCUUAACACAUGCAAGUCGAGGGACCGGCGCACGGGUGAGUAACGCGUAUCCAACCUGCCCAUAAGUAGGGUAUAACCCGCAGAAAUGCGGACUCAUCCCCUAUGAUUAGGGAUGGGGAUGCGUCCGAUUAGCUUGUUGGUGGGGACACGGCCCACCAAGGCCUCGAUCGGGAGGGGUUCUGAGAGGAAGGCCCCCCACAUAGGAACUGAGACCCGGGACUCACUCGUACAGGAGGCAGCAGUGAGUAAUAUUGGUCAAUGGGCGAGAGCCUGAACCAGCCAAGUAUCGUGCAGGAAGACGGCCUAUGGGUUGUAAAUUGCUUUUAGGCGGGGAUAGGUACCGCAUGAAUAAGGACCGGCUAAUUCCGUGCCAGCAGCCGCGGUAAUUC
rnacentral:rRNA from 1 species